rnacentral:misc_RNA from 1 species
UCCGGCUUGUCGCCGGCGGUCCCUUUAGAGUGCCCAACUAAAUGAUGGCAACUAAAGGCGAGGGUUGCGCUCGUUGCGGGACUUAACCCAACAUCUCACGACACGAGCUGACGACAGCCAUGCACCACCUGUACACCGACUAAAAGGGGCUCUAUCUCUAGAGCUUUCCGGCGUAUGUCAAACCCAGGUAAGGUUCUUCGCGUUGCAUCGAAUUAAUCCGCAUGCUCCACCGUUUGUGCGGGCCCCCGUCAAUUCCUUUGAGUUUCAACCUUGCGGUCGUACUCCCCAGGCGGGGUGCUUAAUGCGUUAGCUUCGGCACGGAGGGAGUCGACACCCCCCACACCUAGCACCCAUCGUUUACGGCGUGGACUAC